rnacentral:rRNA from 1 species
GCCUACGGGGGGCAGCAGUGGGGAAUAUUGCACAAUGGGGGAAACCCUGAUCCAGCGACGCCGCGUGAGUGAAGAAGUAUUUCGGUAUGUAAAGCUCUGUCAGCAGGGAAGAAAGAAAUGACGGUACCUGACCAAGAAGCCCCGGCUAACUACGUGCCAGCAGCCGCGGUAAUACGUAGGGGGCAAGCGUUAUCCGGAAUUACUGGGUGUAAAGGGAGCGUAGACGGUGAUGCAAGUCUGGAGUGAAAGGCGGGGGCCCAACCCCCGGACUGCUCUGGAAGCUGUGUAACUUGAGGGCAGGAGAG